rnacentral:rRNA from 1 species
UCGAGAAUCUUCGGCAAUGGACGAAAGUCUGACCGAGCGACGCCGCGUGCGGGAUGAAGGCCUUCGGGUUGUAAACCGCUGUCGUAGGGGAUCAAGUGCACAGGAGUUCUCUCCUGUGUUUGAGAGAUCCUAGGAGGAAGGAGAGGCUAAGCUCGUGCCAGCAGCCGCGGUAAGACGAGCUCUCCAAACGUUAUUCGGUAUUACUGGGCUUAAAGAGUUCGUAGGCGGUUUUACAGGUGAGGUGUGAAAGCCCUCGGCUUAACCGAGGAAUUGCGCUUCAAACCGUAAGGCUAGAGGGAGGUAGGGGUAUGCGGAACAGAUGGUGGAGCGGUGAAAUGCGUUGAUAUCAUCUGGAACACCGGUGGCGAAAGCGGCAUACUGGACCUUUUCUGACGCUGAG